rnacentral:pre_miRNA from 1 species
CAGAAUCUGAUUUCACUUGGUGACAUAGAUGUUUGUGCUGAGUCUCUAGCACCAUAUGAAAUCAGUGUCCU